GACGAACGCUGGCGGCGUGCUUAACACAUGCAAGUCGAACGGUAAGGCCCUUCGGGGUACACGAGUGGCGAACGGGUGAGUAACACGUGGGUGAUCUGCCCUGCACUUCGGGAUAAGCCUGGGAAACUGGGGCUAAUACCGGAUAGGACCACUGCCUGCAUGGGUGGUGGUGGAAAGCUUUUGCGGUGUGGGAUGGGCCCGCGGCCUAUCAGCUUGUGGGGGGGGUGAUGGCCUACCAAGGCCACGACGGGUAGCCGGCCUGAGAGGGUGACCGGGCACACUGGGACUGAGAUACUGCCCAGACUCCUACGGGAGGCAGCAGUGGGGAAUAUUGCACAAUGGGCGCAAGCCUGAUGCAGCGACGCCGCGUGAGGGAUGACGGCCUUCGGGUUGUAAACCUCUUUCAGCACCGACGAAGCGCAAGUGACGGUAGGUGCAGAGGAAGGACCGGCCAACUACGUGCCAGCAGCCGCAGUAA
rnacentral:rRNA from 1 species